UAAAUACUUGUUUAGGAUUUAUGGGU
rnacentral:piRNA from 1 species